CAUAAGAGAAUCGCAUGAUUUUCUUAUCAAAGAUUUAUUGCUUUGAGAUGGACCCGCGGCGCAUUAGCUAGUUGUAAGGUAACGGCUUACCAAGGCAACGAUGCGUAGCCGACCUGAGAGGGUGAUCGGCCACAUUGGAACUGAGACACGGUCCAGACUCCUACGGGAGGCAGCAGUGGGGAAUAUUGCGCAAUGGGGGAAACCCUGACGCAGCAACGCCGCGUGGGUGAUGAAGGUCUUCGGAUUGUAAAGCCCUGUUUUCUGGGACGAUAAUGACGGUACCAGAGGAGGAAGCCACGGCUAACUACGUGCCAGCAGCCGCGGUAAUACGUAGGUGGCGAGCGUUGUCCGGAUUUACUGGGCGUAAAGGGUGCGUAGGCGGAUGUUUAAGUGGGAUGUGAAAUCCCCGGGCUUAACCUGGGGGCUGCAUUCCAAACUGGAUAUCUAGAGUGCAGGAGAGGAAAGCGGAAUUCCUAGUGUAGCGGUGAAAUGCGUAGAGAUUAGGAAGAACACCAGUGGCGAAGGCGGCUUUCUGGACUGUAACUGACGCUGAGGCACGAAAGCGUGGGUAGCAAACAGGAUUAGAUACC
rnacentral:rRNA from 1 species